rnacentral:rRNA from 1 species
AUUGAACGCUGGCGGCAUGCCUUACACAUGCAAGUCGAACGGCAGCAUGAUCUAGCUUGCUAGAUUGAUGGAGAGUGGCGAACGGGUGAGUAAUACAUCGGAACGUGCCCUGUAGUGGGGGAUAACUAGUCGAAAGAUUAGCUAAUACCGCAUACGACCUGAGGGUGAAAGUGGGGGACCGCAAGGCCUCAUGCUAUAGGAGCGGCCGAUGUCUGAUUAGCUAGUUGGUGAGGUAAAGGCUCACCAAGGCGACGAUCAGUAGCUGGUCUGAGAGGACGAUCAGCCACACUGGGACUGAGACACGGCCCAGACUCCUACGGGAGGCAGCAGUGGGGAAUUUUGGACAAUGGGCGAAAGCCUGAUCCAGCAAUGCCGCGUGUGUGAAGAAGGCCUUCGGGUUGUAAAGCACUUUUGUCCGGAAAGAAAUGGCUCUGGUUAAUACCUGGGGUCGAUGACGGUACCGGAAGAAUAAGGACCGGCUAACUACGUG